AGGACGAACGCUAGCGGCGUGUUUGAAACAUGCAAGUCGAACGGUAGAGGUAGCAAUACUUCGAGAGUGGCGAACGGGUGCGUAACACGUAAAGAACCUAUCCUUUAGCGGGGGAUAGCCCUUAGAAAUGAGGGGUAAUACCGCAUAAGGUAUCCUUGACGCAUGUUAGGGAUAGGAAAGGGUUACGAAAGUAACUCACUAAAGGAGGGCUUUGCGGCCUAUCAGGUAGUUGGUGGGGUAAAGGCCUACCAAGCCAAAGACGGGUAGCUGGUCUGAGAGGAUGGUCAGCCACACUGGGACUGAGAUACGGCCCAGACUCCUACGGGGGGCAGCAGUUUAGAAUAUUGUGCAAUGGGCGAAAGCCUGACACAGCGACGCCGCGUGGGUGAUGAAGGCCUUCGGGUCGUAAAGCCCUGUUGGUAGGGAUGAGUAAGGACAGUACCGUACCGAGGAACGCCCCGGCUAACUACGUGCCAGCAGCCGC
rnacentral:rRNA from 1 species